AGCGAACGCUGGCGGCAGGCUUAACACAUGCAAGUCGAGCGGGCGUAGCAAUACGUCAGCGGCAGACGGGUGAGUAACGCGUGGGAACGUACCUUUUGGUUCGGAACAACACAGGGAAACUUGUGCUAAUACCGGAUAAGCCCUUACGGGGAAAGAUUUAUCGCCGAAAGAUCGGCCCGCGUCUGAUUAGCUAGUUGGUGAGGUAACGGCUCACCAAGGCGACGAUCAGUAGCUGGUCNGAGAGGAUGAUCAGCCACAUUGGGACUGAGACACGGCCCAAACUCCUACGGGAGGCAGCAGUGGGGAAUAUUGGACAAUGGGCGCAAGCCUGAUCCAGCCAUGCCGCGUGAGUGAUGAAGGCCCUAGGGUUGUAAAGCUCUUUUGUGCGGGAAGAUAAUGACGGUACCGCAAGAAUAAGCCCCGGCUAACUUCGUGCCAGCAGCCGCUGUAAU
rnacentral:rRNA from 1 species